AUGAACGCUGGCGGCGUGCCUAAUACAUGCAAGUCGAGCGAACAGACGAGGAGCUUGCUCCUCUGACGUUAGCGGCGGACGGGUGAGUAACACGUGGAUAACCUACCUAUAAGACUGGGAUAACUUCGGGAAACCGGAGCUAAUACCGGAUAAUAUAUUGAACCGCAUGGUUCAAUAGUGAAAGACGGUUUUGCUGUCACUUAUAGAUGGAUCCGCGCCGCAUUAGCUAGUUGGUAAGGUAACGGCUUACCAAGGCGACGAUGCGUAGCCGACCUGAGAGGGUGAUCGGCCACACUGGAACUGAGACACGGUCCAGACUCCUACGGGAGGCAGCAGUAGGGAAUCUUCCGCAAUGGGCGAAAGCCUGACGGAGCAACGCCGCGUGAGUGAUGAAGGUCUUCGGAUCGUAAAACUCUGUUAUUAGGGAAGAAUAAAUGUGUAAGUAACUAUGCACGUCUUGACGGUACCUAAUCAGAAAGCCACGGCUAACUACGUG
rnacentral:rRNA from 1 species